CGAAAUUUAUUGUAAAAAUUUUUGAUGUUACUGGUCCUUUAAGGUGAAAGAAAAAAAUGAUUUCUGCUACUUCUCAAAAAGUUCAGAUGAAAUCCCCCUACUUAAACUGGCCAUAGAUUCAAAGAUCCGAUCGUUCAAAUCCACAAACUAAUGGACUUCCCCCAUAUCUCGACCUGCCACUAACCAUUCCGAUCAAAUAAAGUAGUAAAAGAACAGAUCAGCCGAUGUUCUGCCCCUGACAGCAAUCGUACGAAAGCUGGUGACAGUCUCCCACUGAAAAUCGUCAGAUCGGCAAUACAUGCAGAGAUAUUAUCAGCAGCCGACAGAAAUCUUUUAACCUGGCCGAUCGACCAAACGACUGAUCUCCAUGGGAUGAAAAAUGUCGGUACUCUCCCCAAAAGGUCCGAAAAUCAGACUUAUACUCGAAUCAUACAAUCGGAUCUUUGCGUCUAUGGCCAGCUUUAGUCCCAAGCUGCAAACCUAAUUAUCCAAUCUUCUUGGUAUCUGGGAUUUUUGUCCCAGAUAGGGGGUCUUCCUCUCAUGUUGCGUGCAUACAUUAAAGGGAUACUGUUAUGGGGAAAAAAUUGACAAUAUGUCUAGCCCCAUGUCAGAUUUCAAAAUUGAAUAUAAAAAAAUCUGUUUGCUCUUUUGAGAAAUGGAUCUCAGUGCAGAAUUCUGCUGGAGCAGCACUAUUAACUGAUUCAUUUUGAUAAACAUUUUUUUUCCCAUGACAGUAUCCCUUUAAAGUAAUACAGACACACAAAAAAUGACUCUUCAAAGUAUAAGUUACCUUAAGGUCAUAUUGAUCAUUUGACUGACACAUCUGCUUUAGUAAGUAAUUGGUACUUGAAGCUAUACCUAACAGCUAUAGUUUCCUACUCUAUGCUAAUUGAAUUUUGCUACACAAAUAUGCAGAGGUACAUGGGGGAUCAGACAGGUAAUGUAAAAGCAUUGGGCAAAUACUUUUAUGGCAACAUUGUGAAUAGCAUGCGAAAACAAUGUUAUGAUAAAUGUAAAAGAAAAUUAUUUUCUAAAGUCAGUAUCUCUUUAAGGUGCCUUAAAAAUCCUAAUACUAAAAUCACCCUGCCAUCAACUGCUAACUACGUUAUCUGUCCAGGUACAAUGACACUUUGGUUACUUUGGAUCUUAAGGCUCAGACAAAGUAGGAGGUCUACGGGACUAAUCACUCCUACACGUCGGCAGGACAAUAUUCUUUGUACUACUCCACACGUCUGACACUAUCUUGACCUUCAAAGAAAGUAAUCUUUGGUGUUAGCCAAAAAAGAAAUCUUAUCCUUGCCGUACUCUGAUUGGGGUACCCCAAUAAGAACAACCUUCUCAGUGCAAGAUUGAGCAAGGAAGCACACUAUAACCAGUAUUCUUCGACCAAGGAAACCAUUUUUAAAUUCAUGCUCCCAAAGCAAGUACAGGCUUAAUUCUAAUCUUGUUUAGCUUUUUUGCAUGGAUGUCCUAUAGAUAAAAGGGCACAUUGCCCCUGUGUUGACUGGCUGUUCCUGUUCUACUUUGUGAGGAUCACAAAGCCCAAAUUAAGUUGUAGGGUCAUUAGAGGACUAAAGUUUUCAGCUUGGUCCUAAACAUUAUAACCUCCACCAUUUCUGAUGUUUUGUUGCUAGGUGUCCUGUGUAAGGUAUCAUAGAUCAGUAAUAUUGAAACCAGAUGCAUAUUUUAUUGCUUUCAUAGGUGAAGAAUUUGAAUUUAACAUUGUGUAUAUUGCAAAGUAUAUUUCUUGUGUUCUGCAUUCCAUAACACAGGGAUCAAAAUCCCCUUUUUUUUGAAGACAACUAUUAGAUGCUUUAUUUUUCUAAAAGAAAAUGCUUAUUAUGGUAUGCCUUCUAAGGCAACUUUCAGCUACAUAUUGAUAUGUUCAUAUUUGUUUACUGAUUGUUAGACACCAUGAAGUUUAUGCUGAUGUUCUGCAGUUUUAUUAUUGUUUUCUAGCAGCCAACACAUUCCAGAGGUAUUGUGUUAUGGGAGAUGAAAGGCAGUAACACAAUGUUCUGUGUGCUUCUCGUAUCUGGAUUCUCACAAAAUCUAGUUAGGUGGCGUUUGUACUCCUUUCAAAUGGUUUGGUUCUGUUUUGAAUAAUCUGCUUGACUCACAUCGACCUGCCAAAUUAAUAAACUACAAUGAUUUACGGA